rnacentral:rRNA from 1 species
UACGUAGGGUGCGAGCGUUAAUCGGAAUUACUGGGCGUAAAGCGUGCGCAGGCGGUUCGCUGUGUCCGAUGUGAAAGCCCCGGGCUUAACCUGGGAAUGGCAUUGGAAACUGGAUGGCUUGAGUUCGGGAGAGGGAUGCGGAAUUCCAGGUGUAGCGGUGAAAUGCGUAGAUAUCUGGAGGAACACCGGUGGCGAAGGCGGCAUCCUGGACCGACACUGACGCUGAGGAGCGAAAGCCAGGGGAGCAAACGGG